rnacentral:rRNA from 1 species
ACGAGGGGGGCAAGCGUUGUUCGGAAUUAUUGGGCGUAAAGGGCGCGUAGGCGGUGCGGUAAGUCUAAUGUGAAAUCUCCGGGCUCAACUCGGAGUCUGCAUCAGAAACUGCCGUGCUCGAGUGUGGGAGAGGUGAGUGGAAUUCCCGGUGUAGCGGUGAAAUGCGUUGAGAUCGGAAGGAACGCCCGUGGCGAAAGCGAGGUCCUGGACGCCUACUGACGCUGAGACGCGAAAGCCAGGGGAGCGAACGGGA